rnacentral:rRNA from 1 species
CGUUAAGUUGCAGGGUAUAGACCCGAAACCCGGUGAUCUAGCCAUGGGCAGGUUGAAGGUUGGGUAACACUAACUGGAGGACCGAACCGACUAAUGUUGAAAAAUUAGCGGAUGACUUGUGGCUGGGGGUGAAAGGCCAAUCAAACCGGGAGAUAGCUGGUUCUCCCCGAAAGCUAUUUAGGUAGCGCCUCGUGAAUUCAUCUUCGGGGGUAGAGCACUGUUUCGGCUAGGGGGUCAUCCCGACUUACCAACCCGAUGCAAACUACGAAUACCGAAGAAUGUUAUCACGGGAGACACACGGCGGGUGCUAACGUCCGUCGUGAAGAGGGAAACAACCCAGACCGCCAGCUAAGGUCCCAAAGUCAUGGUUAAGUGGGAAACGAUGUGGGAAGGCACAGACAGCCAGGAUGUUGGCUUAGAAGCAGCCAUCAUUUAAAGAAAGCGUAAUAGCUCACUGGUCGAGUCGGCCUGCGCGGAAGAUGUAACGGGGCUAAACCAUGCACCGAAGCUGCGGCAGCGACACUAUGUGUUGUUGGGUAGGGGAGCGUUCUGUAAGCCUGCGAAGGUGACCUGUGAGGGUUGCUGGAGGUAUCAGAAGUGCGAAUGCUGACAUAAGUAACGAUAAAGCGGGUGAAAAGCCCGCUCGCCGGAAGACCAAGGGUUCCUGUCCAACGUUAAUCGGGGCAGGGUGAGUCGACCCCUAAGGCGAGGCCGAAAGGCGUAGUCGAUGGGAAACAGGUUAAUAUUCCUGUACUUGGUGUUACUGCGAAGGGGGGACGGAGAAGGCUAUGUUAGCCGGGCGACGGUUGUCCCGGUUUAAGCAUGUAGGCUGGUUAUCCAGGCAAAUCCGGAUAAUCAAGGCUGAGGUGUGAUGACGAGGCACUACGGUGCUGAAGUAACAAAUGCCCUGCUUCCAGGAAAAGCCUCUAAGCAUCAGGUAACAUCAAGUCGUACCCCAAACCGACACAGGUGGUCAGGUAGAGAAUACCAAGGCGCUUGAGAGAACUCGGGUGAAGGAACUAGGCAAAAUGGUGCCGUAACUUCGGGAGAAGGCACGCUGGUGUGUAGGUGAAGCCCCUGCGGGUGGAGCUGAGACCAGUCGAAGAUACCAGCUGGCUGCAACUGUUUAUUAAAAACACAGCACUGUGCAAACACGAAAGUGGACGUAUACGGUGUGACGCCUGCCCGGUGCCGGAAGGUUAAUUGAUGGGGUUAUCCGUAAGGAGAAGCUCUUGAUCGAAGCCCCGGUAAACGGCGGCCGUAACUAUAACGGUCCUAAGGUAGCGAAAUUCCUUGUCGGGUAAGUUCCGACCUGCACGAAUGGCGUAAUGAUGGCCAGGCUGUCUCCACCCGAGACUCAGUGAAAUUGAACUCGCUGUGAAGAUGCAGUGUACCCGCGGCAAGACGGAAAGACCCCGUGAACCUUUACUAUAGCUUGACACUGAACAUUGAGCCUUGAUGUGUAGGAUAGGUGGGAGGCUUUGAAGCGUGGACGCCAGUCUGCGUGGAGCCAACCUUGAAAUACCACCCUUUAAUGUUUGAUGUUCUAACGUUGGCCCCU